AUAGAAAAUAAAACUUCUAAAACGCUUAAAUGCAAAACAAAGCUCAAUUCAAUCCUAUAUUAAAAACAAGCUCCAAACUUACAAUGUAAUUUUAUGUUGGUUGCAGGAAGUUUCAUGGAAUGAAGCUAAAUUGUUUUAUGUUAAAUGUCCUUUUUUGCUAUAAAUUCAAAUUCUUGCCCAGUAGGUGGCGAUAUGCACAAAGAAUGCGAGAAAGUGGAGAUUUACGUAUAGUAAAAAAGGACUUAAAUAUUGAUCUGUUUCUCACCCACUCCUCUUAUAUUACUUCUGAAUGAUUUAACCACUGUUGAUUACUUUUAUGCUGCCUUUACAUGCUUUUUGGAGCUUCAAAGUUCUAGACACCGUUCACUUGCAUUGUAUGGGCCUACAGAUCUGAGAUAUUCUUCUAAAAAUCUUCGCUUGUGUUCGGCAGAAGAAAGAAAAACAUACACAUGGGAUGGCAUGAGGAACCGGAGUGGGUGGUCCAUAGACGAAUAAUAAAACUUGAGGAAAAUGACAGUCACAAGAACAUGUUCGAGCACCCAUGGGAACAUUCAAAGUUCUCUGUGUGAGAGUGUUGCAGCUGACCAUUGGUGAAAUGCAAAACAACUGAAAGGCACACCACUUACCAGGCCCACCAGCAUCCUCUGCUGUUGGUCUUCCUCCUGAAACAGUGGAACAACACGCCUGUCUGGAGGGAGGACGAGA